AAUAAAAAUAAAAGGAAAUACAAAAGUUCUUAGUGCAGAAUGAGUUCACGGUGUUCAUGAAAUGGAAAGAAAUUCACUGUGGCUGCAGAGAAAUGAGGCUUGAGAAUCUGGAAUAAGAUGAGGUCAGAAAAGAAGGUGGGAACGGGUCACAAUUGAUGCGAGUGUAAAUGCCAUAGACUGCUGUGCCCACCAAGAGCCCUUUACAGGCUGGUACAGGGGCACAGCUACACCCUUCUCUCCAGAACUGCCAGACCCGCCUUUGAGCUGAUGCCCCGCCCCACCCUGGGGGUUUGGGGAGUGGAUGGACCACAGCCAGGGCACUGCUCUAAGGGGCCACUCCCACUCCAGAGCUCCCUCCAGGGCUCCUGCUGAGGCUCCAGGUGAGCCCACUCCUCUGCUCAGCUUCUUCCCUGCCUAUCCUUGCAGGGUUCCCGAGAGUUCACCCUCAACCAACCACUCCCACAAGAGUCCUCCUCUCAAGCUCUGCUUCGAAGGAACCUGCCCUAAGAUGCAUUGAAAUCACUGUAGAACACAUAGAUUUGGUGUGAGAUGGCUUCAUUAUGAACGAGUUCCCGUUUAUCGUGUCAAAGUCAAGCCAUUGUGCAGCCAGGUACGGAUGGGCCAACUGCUGAUCCAUGGUGGAGAAGGUGGAGAAGAGCGAUGGAGUUAUCAGCGAAAUCAGAGCUGCCUCGGUGGAUGGAGCUGAAUUCCUGAGGAAAAGCUCAACUCAGCUAUGAACGGAUCUUGUUCCUCCUUAUCAAGGGAUCCCUGAGGAGAACGCUGGGCGUGUCCUCCUUUGGUCCAGCCUGGGUUGCAGCUUCGAUGCUCCCUCUGCGCAGGGCGGAAGGUACCUGCAGACUGCCCAUCUGUACCCCUGGGAUUUAGGGGACACCUGAUGAAGUAUUUGCGUUUAAUCAUCAUCUUGAUGCGGACGCUUUUAGGAGCAAUGACUGAGACUGGGAGGGAUUAUAAAUAAACACUCAAAUGACAGG